rnacentral:rRNA from 1 species
AGAACGAACGCUGGCGGCAUGCCUAAUACAUGCAAGUCGAACGAACUCUUCGGAGUUAGUGGCGCACGGGUGCGUAACGCGUGGGAAUCUGCCCUUGGGUUCGGAAUAACAGUUGGAAACGACUGCUAAUACCGGAUGAUGACGAAAGUCCAAAGAUUUAUCGCCCAGGGAUGAGCCCGCGUAGGAUUAGCUAGUUGGUGAGGUAAAGGCUCACCAAGGCGACGAUCCUUAGCUGGUCUGAGAGGAUGAUCAGCCACACUGGGACUGAGACACGGCCCAGACUCCUACGGGAGGCAGCAGUAGGGAAUAUUGGACAAUGGGCGAAAGCCUGAUCCAGCAAUGCCGCGUGAGUGAUGAAGGCCUUAGGGUUGUAAAGCUCUUUUACCCGAGAUGAUAAUGACAGUAUCGGAGAAUAAGCCCCGGAUAACUCCGUGCCAGCAGCCG